UCUUGUUUAGUAGCCAUGGAUGAAUUGCCUGCUUCCAAAAUGAGGUGUCAAGCCGAGAUAAACAUACAAGUUUGAUCCCUCAUUGGGGUUCCCAGGCAGUCAUCAGCUUGGCUAACUUGACAG
rnacentral:pre_miRNA from 1 species